rnacentral:rRNA from 1 species
GACGAACGCUGGCGGCGUGCCUAAUACAUGCAAGUCGAACGGAGUGGGGACGGGUGAGUAAAACGUGGGUAACCUCCCAUCAGAGGGGAUAACACUUGGCAACAGGUGCUAAACCGAUACGGAUGGAGGGACCCGCGGUGCAGUAGCUAGUUGGUGAGGUAACGGCUCAACAAGGCCACGAUGCAUAGCCGACCUGAGAGGGUGAUCGGCCACACUGGGACUGAGACACGGCCCAGACUCCUACGGGAGGCAGCAGUAGGGAAUCUUCGGCAAUGGACGAAAGUCUGACCGAGCAACGCCGCGUGAGUGAAGAAGGGUUUCGGAUCGUAAAACUCUGUUGUUAGAGAAGCGGUAUCUAACCAGAAAGCCACGGCUAACUACGUGCCAGCCGCCGCGGUAAUUC